CCGGAUCUGAAUUAGGGACUUAAAUUACACUUUAAAGUACAGUUUGUUACGCGCUUUUCCUUCUCGCCGCACUGUGGGAUUCAUCGAUAAGUUAAGUAAUUGUGCCAAUUCAAACGGGUCGCUUUGCAUCCGACGCGACCGGCGCGAUAGAGCGUCUCCCCUCCGAAGAACGUCCCCGGCCUUAACGGUUUCCAGGGGCCUCCGCUGGGUGCGUCUCCGCUCUGCUUUCCAUCGCCCCAAUUCCGAACAAAAGAAAAAGGGGGGAAAAAAUUAUUUAUUUGUUUAUUUCUUAAGAAAAAUAAGUCUUUUUAAGAUAAUAAGAAAAAUAAGGAACAAACGUGCAGACCUUCACUGCUCAGGGGGGCUACAAACCAAAGUAAAACUAGGGGCCGGCAAAAACAUGGUGCUCCACAGUCUUAAUUUAACAAAACACAGUGGAACCCCCUGAAAUAGCGUGAAAUUCAGAAGCCUGUGGUCGGGCUGAAGCAUCGUGUGCUGGCCGGCAGAUGUUUGGAAAGGUGCUAAGAUGUAACUCUUAUUGUCCAUAGAAUUUGCUGUUAACCACUUGCAAGAUACAAAGUGACGGCCAGCUGGAUGAAUAGGAGAAUCUGCUGAAGCGCCCACUAACUUUGGAUGUCGCCUAAACCUUCAGAUGGAAUCCUUGCAGGCAUUCCCGUGGGGAUCGGGAAAUUGCAGUAUGCCGGAACUACCGUUGCUGAUGUGGGGCGAGCGCUCUGAAGUGCACUUGGAGAAGAACGCAUUCCAAUCCCGCAUAUAUGAAAAGUUUAAUAUUUUAGACAGCUAGAUGAAAUGCUGGGGUCUUGGUGCAUUUUGCUUUGGCGGUCCAGGCUUUUCAGCAUCUUAGGGAAAUGUUUGGAAAUGAAUUUUAUUUUCACAACUGUGGUACAAUUACAAGGCGGGGAUGUUUCACCCUUCUCACCGAGGUGCCCUUGGUGGUGGUGGUCUGUAAAUGGCUAUAGAACUGACAGAGAAGUCUGCAAGCAUUUUCUUCGGUUCUGAUUUUUAUUCUUAUUUGUUUUAACAGAGAGAUAAAAACCAGCAUUGUGCAUGUCCUUGCUCUGCGGGUUGGGGAUGUAUCGUUGUUGUUGUCGUUGUUUUCCUGGGAAGUAAAACAGGGUAGGAUAUUGGUAAUAAGGGCAAGUGGAUUUAUUGCUGAGCGAGUUGUACGCUGUUUGACAGAAAAUUCCUGAACUGAUCGGUGUUGGUGGAAGUUGGGGCUGCCUCCCGAUGUUUCCUGAGCCUUCUAUUUAGUUUGGAGUUCUGGGAAGUAUUUGUGGGCUUAAUCCAUUUACGCUUUUGAUAGGUAAAUGCAAGCCAUGAGUUACGGUAAAUUAUUGCUAAGAAAAGAUGAAUGGAAGAAUGGAUGUUUCAUUUUACUAUAUAUGCUGGGAAAGGUUGUUCUUUCUUUCAGCGUAUAACUCUGCUUUUCCUCGUACAACCUAUUUACAGGGUCAGA
ensembl:lncRNA